GAUGAACGCUAGGUACAGGCUUAACACAUGCAAGUCGAGGGGAAACGACAUCGAAAGCUUGCUUUUGAUGGGCGUCGACCGGCGCACGGGUGAGUAACGCGUAUCCAACCUGCCCACCACUUGGGGAUAACCUUGCGAAAGUAAGACUAAUACCCAAUGAUAUCUUUAGAAGACAUUUGAAAGAGAUUAAAGAUUUAUCGGUGAUGGAUGGGGAUGCGUUUGAUUAGCUUGUUGGCGGGGUAACGGCCCACCAAGGCAACGAUCAGUAGGGGUUUUGAGAGGAAGGUCCCCCCCCUUGGAAAUGAGACACGGUCCCAACUCCUACGGGAGGCAGCAGUGAGGAAUAUUGGUCAAUGGACGAGAGUUUGAACCAGCCAAGUAGCGUGCAGGAAGACGGCCCUAUGGGUUGUAAACUGCUUUUAUAAGGGAAUAAAGUGAGAGUCGUGACUCU
rnacentral:rRNA from 1 species